rnacentral:rRNA from 1 species
GACGAACGCUGGCGGCGUGCUUAACACAUGCAAGUCGAACGGAAAGGCCCUGCUUGCAGGGUACUCGAGUGGCGAACGGGUGAGUAACACGUGGGUGAUCUGCCCUGCACUUCGGGAUAAGCCUGGGAAACUGGGUCUAAUACCGGAUAUGACCUUCCAUGAAGGGUGGGGGGGGGAAAGAUUUCGCGGUGAGGGUUGAUUCCGCGGCCUAUCAGCUUGUUGGUGGGGUAAUGGCCUACCAAGGCGGCGGCGGGUAGCCGGCCUGAGGGGGUGGACGGCCACAUUGGCACUGAGAUGCGGCCCAGUCUCAUGCGGGAGAGAGCAGGGGGGAAUAGUGCACAAUGGGCAGGACCCAUGUGCAGCGGCGCCGUGUGGGGGAUGACGGCCUGCGGGGUGUAAACCUCUUUCGACGGGCACAAAGCUGCGGUGACGGUACCUAGAUAAGAAGCACCGGCUAACUACGUG